AGAGUUUGAUCAUGGCUCAGAAUCAACGCUGGCGGCGUGCCUAACACAUGCAAGUCGAACGCGACUGAGGGCUUCGGCUCUCAGUUGAGUGGCAAACGGGUGAGUAACACGUGGGUGACCUACCUUCGAAUGGGGGAUAACGUCCCGAAAGGGACGCUAAUACCGCAUAACAUCCUGCCUUUGAACAGGUGGAGAUCAAAGCCGGGGAUCGCAAGACCUGGCGUUUGGAGAGGGGCCCGCGUCCGAUUAGCUAGUUGGUGGGGUAAUGGCUCACCAAGGCAACGAUCGGUAGCCGGCCUGAGAGGGCGGACGGCCACACUGGGACUGAGACACGGCCCAGACUCCUACGGGAGGCAGCAGUGGGGAAUUGUUCGCAAUGGGCGCAAGCCUGACGACGCAACGCCGCGUGGAGGAUGAAGGUCUUCGGAUUGUAAACUCCUGUUGCUCGGGACGAAACGCUCCGACCUAACACGUCGGAGUCUGACGGUACCGGGUGAGGAAGCCCCGGCUAACUCUGUGCCAGCAGCCGCGGUAAUACAGAGGGGGCUAGCGUUGUUCGGAAUUACUGGGCGUAAAGGGCGCGUAGGUGGCCUGUUAAGUCGAACGU
rnacentral:rRNA from 1 species